UACGUAGGGCGCGAGCGUUGUCCGGAAUUAUUGGGCGUAAAGAGCUCGUAGGCGGCCUGUCGCGUCCGCUGUGAAAUCCCGGGGCUUAACCCCGGGCCUGCAGUGGAUACGGGCAGACUAGAGUGCGGUAGGGGAGAUUGGAAUUCCUGGUGUAGCGGUGGAAUGCGCAGAUAUCAGGAGGAACACCAAUGGCGAAGGCAGAUCUCUGGGCCGUAACUGACGCUGAGGAGCGAAAGCAUGGGGAGCGAACAGG
rnacentral:rRNA from 1 species